GUUAAAACAAAUAUAUUUAGAGAGUUGAGAGAGAGUGAUUCCUCAGUUCACGAAAAAAACCUAACAUUUAGUUCCUUCUCUUUCAUCUUCAUCGUUCUUCCAUGUCUACCAUUGAAACAUAUUAAAGCAUUCAACGAACAACUUAUUUCAUAUCUGUCAUGUUCUAUCUGUUUGCAGAGGUCCUGAAGUGCGACAAAAAAGGUACGAUUGUAAUAAGUUAGAGGUCCUGAAGUGCGACAAAAAAGGUACAAUUGUAAUAAGUUAAUGGAAUUUGCAGUGGUCCUAAUGCAUGUUGCAGUAACUUUUAGUAUUCCAAAUUUAGGUUUUUAUUGUGUGGGUAAAUCGUUGUCAUUUCUUUGAACUAUGAAUGUUAAACUUGUUAAUCAUAUUUUAACUUGUGGGUAUAUUUGUAAAUACAGAAAUGAGGUUAUUCAGUGUGUUUUUUCACCAUGGGGGAAACUUUGUUCAUGACAAACACAUGUUUUACAAAGGGGGAGUGAAACCAUUGUAGAAGGGAAAGACUCUAAUAAGUGGAGUUUUUUCGAGGCAAUUAACUUAGUUAAUGUUUGAAGUUAUGAUGGAUUUAAACUUUGGAGAAAGAUACAAGGACUUGAUGAAAGAUUUAUUCAGUUCAUUGAUGAUGUACAAUCUGAAAAAAUUGCUAAUCACAGCCUUAGUAAUUAUGUUAAUGGGCAUAUCUGGGUAGAACAUGGUGUUGAAGACAUGCUAAGCAAGGUGUUGAAGCCUGAUGUUGAUCAAUUCAGUGAAUGUAGUGAUGAUGAUAGCAUCGGUGAUGUUGAUAACACUGAUGAUGGAGGAAUAAGGUUUGAUGAUAGUGAAGAAGAAAUAACUUGUGAAAGAGAGUAAGGAUUUGUUCAAGUUGAAGUGGAAAGACCAAUUGAUGGUAAUAAGGUUGAGGUUAAUGAGAAGUCUCUUAGAUUCAAGGUUAUCGAUUCCAAAGGUCCAAAAGAGAUGAAAUCCCCAAUAAAAGUGAAUAGGUUUGUUACUGCAAGUGUUUUGGGAGCUAGUUCAAAGAGGAAUACCAAUAAUGUUGAAAGUCAAGAUGUGGACUAUGAUAGUGAAGACUUGGAAAGCUCUGACCCUGAUGAUAGUGACGAUGAAAAACAACCUAAGCCUAAGUAUGAGAAGUUUAGAGCAGAGCUGCUAAAGAAGGACUUCCAAUUUUAACUAGGUAUAUAAUUUAAUUAUUUGUCUGAAUUUAAAUAUGCAAUUAGGGAGUAGUCUAUUUUAAAUGAUAGAGAGAUAGCAUUUGUUAAUAAUGAAAACUAUAUGGUUAGGUUAGAGUGUAGGGGUAAAUGUGGAUUUUUAGCUUUAUGUAGUAAAUUGGGUGAUAGACACACUUACCAAUUAAAGACAUGAGUGGGGACCCACACAUGUGCAAGGGUAUUAAAUAAAAAAUCUCUCAAUGCCAAUUGGGUAUCUAAGCUAGUGGUUGAAAAAAGGAAGUCACAAGGUAAAGUUAAAGUGUCUGAGAUAAUGUCUGAACUAAGAAUGAAGUACUUUGUUGGUAUAACCAAAUGGAAGACAUUGAGAGCUAGAUCCAUAUCAGAUGAAAUUAUUGAAGGAGAUGCAACAAAAUAAAACAACAUGUUAUUGAGUUAUGCAGUUAAGUUGAAGAAGGAGUGUAAUGGGAAUACUGUGAAGAUUGACACUGAGAGGCCAUUGCCAACCCUCUCACCAAGAUUUGGGAGGUUCUAUUUUUUCUUUGAUGGUUAUAAGAUAGGAUUUACUAAGGCAUGUAGCUAGGGAUCCAAAUGACCAGUACUACGCUCUAGCAUUUGGUGUAAUGGAGACUGAAAUAAUGGAUAAUUGGAAAUGGUUUUUACAGUUACUUAUGGAAGACAUUGGUGAAGAAAUAAAAUAUGUUUUUAUCUCAGAUCAGCAAAAGGUACAUAAUGUUAUGAUUGUUAGUUUGUUUAUUCACUUGUUUGAUUGUUUGUUUAUUUAUGUUCUCAGGGACUUGCUACUGUAUUUGAGGAGAUGUUUGAACAAAUAGAGCAUAGAUGUCUAAGACAUUUGUAUGCCAAUUUCAAGAAGAAGUUUGGUGGUGGAGUUUCAAUAAGAGACCUAUUGAUGGGGGAUGGCAAAUCUUACUUAUUUCCAAGCUUGAAAAAAAAGAUGGUUGAGCUAAAGCAACUGGACAAGAAGGCAUGGGAAUGAGGGAGGCUUAUAAAACUUGUUAUGAAACCAAUGUCAGUCCAAUCAAUGGUAUGGACAUGUGGCCAAAUGUGGAUGUUGAGGACAUGUUGCCACCUCAGUACAAGAAGGGUCCAGGUAGGCCUAAGAAAUUAUGGUUUAGAAAGCAUGAUGAAUUUGGGUCUAAGAUGAGGAGGACUGGUGUAGCAUAUAGAUGCAGAAAGUGUGACAAAUGUUAGCCAUAAUUCAAGGAAAUGUCAUAGCAAAGAACAUGAUCCUAAUGCAUUGAACAAAAAGAGGAAAACACCAAUGACCAAGACCACUUCAACUGUUGCUUAAACUGAAGGGGUGUCUAAGACAAAUGCUCCUGAAAGUGUGCAUGGAAUAAAUGACCCAAAUUUAGAUGCACUGCUUGAAGAGAUGAUGACAACUUUUGAAGACCAAAUUGAUACUGCACAAACUGAGUAGCCACCUGAUGCUGCACAAACUGAGCAACCACAAUCUCAAGUGUGCAAUCCCACCCUUAAUGUUGCACAAACUGCACUAACAUAAGCAGAAGCAUUUGACAAAGUAGUUGAGAAGAAGAAAAAAGUUACCAAAGCAAUUGAGAAGAAGACACAAGUUUUCAAUGCAUCUGAGAAGAAGAAACAAGUUUCCAAAGCAACUGAGAAGAACAAAAAGGUUUCCAAGGAAGUUGUGAAGAAGAAACAAGUUGCCAAGGCAGUUGAGAAGAAGAAAAAAAGUAGAUGUGAAGAAUACACAGACACCUAAGAGGAGUAGUGAUAGGUUGAAAUCUGUUUCGAGAUCUAAAAAUAAUGUUAGGCAUGGUUCAACUUCAGAUGCACCAUUGGUAGUUGAUGAGAAACCUUACGUAAAGAAAAUGCGGUCAUGGGAGGAAAUUUCAAGGAUAAUGACUCAAUAAUGCUUAUUAUUAGGUAGUUUAUAACUUAUUAGGAGAAUGGCUCAACAAUUCUUAUCUAAGAAACAUCUAUUUUUUAACUUCUAUGUUAUGCACUAUAUGUUAUACCUUUGGGAACAUCUUUGUAAUGCACACUAGGUGCAUAUUUUGGAUCAACAUGUAAUGAUUUUGUAACUUCUAUGUUAUGCGCAAUAUGUUAUACUCUUAUACGAUUUGUGAUCGGUAAA